GCUAAAUGCGCGUCACAAUGUGAACUGCAGGACACAUGAACACCGAUAAGUUGAACGCAUAUUGCGCAUCGUGCGACACAGCUCGAUGUACACAUUUUUGAGUGCC
rnacentral:rRNA from 1 species